AGCGAACGCUGGCGGCAGGCCUAACACAUGCAAGUCGAACGGACCCUUCGGGGUUAGUGGCGGACGGGUGAGUAACACGUGGGAACGUGCCUUUAGGUUCGGAAUAGCUCCUGGAAACGGGUGGUAAUGCCGAAUGUGCCCUUCGGGGGAAAGAUUUAUCGCCUUUAGAGCGGCCCGCGUCUGAUUAGCUUGUUGGUGAGGUAAUGGCUCACCAAGGCGACGAUCGGUAGCUGGUCUGAGAGGAUGACCAGCCACAUUGGGACUGAGACACGGCCCAAACUCCUACGGGAGGCAGCAGUGGGGAAUCUUGCGCAAUGGGCGAAAGCCUGACGCAGCCAUGCCGCGUGGAUGAUGAAGGUCUUAGGAUUGUAAAAUCCUUUCACCGGUGAAGAUAAUGACUGUAGCCGGAGAAGAAGCCCCGGCUAACUUCGUGCCAGCAGCCGCGGUAACAC
rnacentral:rRNA from 1 species